CCCCUGGUGGCGGGUUUGUUUCGGGGCAUCUACUUUUUCUGCUGGCAUACUUGCUCUGGGAAUGAUCUUCUAUGCAAAGAGUCCACAUUGGUUAUACAAGCAAGGAAGAAUUGCUGAAGCAGAAGCCACAUUUGAGAGGCUUCUGGGUGCUUCAGAAGCAAAAUUUGCUAUGUCAUAAUUAUU